AUUGAACGCUGGCGGCAGGCCUAACACAUGCAAGUCGAACGGUAACAGGCAGCAGCUUGCUGCUUUGCUGCCGAGUGGCGGGCGGUUGAGUAAUGUCUGCGAAACUGCCCGAUGUAGGUGGAUAACUACUUGAAACGUUAGCUAAUACCGCAUAACGUCGCAAGACCAAAGCGGGGGACCUUAGGGCCUCGUGCCGUCGGAUGUGCCCAGAUGGGAUUAGCUAGUAGGUGGGGUAACGGCUCACCGAGGCGACGAUCCGUAGCUGGUCUGAGAGGAUGACCAGCCACACUGGAACUGAGACACGGUCCAGACUCCUACGGGAGGCAGCAGUGGGGAAUAUUGGACAAUGGGCGCAAGCCUGAUGCAGCAAUGCCGCGUGUAUGAAGAAGGCCUUCGGGUUGUAAAGUACUUUCAGCGGGGAGGAAGGGAGUAAAGUUAAUACCUUUGCUUAUUGACGUUACCGGAAGAAGAAGCACCGGCUAACUCCGUG
rnacentral:rRNA from 1 species